AUCCACACUUGGUUAUAAUAUUUAUAAACCGAUCUGCCGAUAUCAAAAACCCGGCCUUAACGCGCUCUAAGCUAUGCAUAUUUGGGCAUAGUUUGGGAAAGCCUCAGAAGAAAAAAAAAAUACGCAUUCCAAAGGGAGAAAGGUAAAUAUAUGGAAAUAUUUUGCUUGGAAUUCAUGACUUUUUAUUCGGGACCCACGAUUUUUUACCCACGACCCACGCCUUUUUACCCACGACCCACGCCUUUUUACCCACGACCCACGCCUUUUUACCCACGACCCACGCCUUUUUACCCACGACCCACGAAAUUCUACCCACGACCCACGACAUUCUACCCACGACCCACGACAUUCUACCCACGACCCACGAAUGUUAGCUAGUCCCGUUCUGUAUGACAUGACACAUAAUUAUACCAACCUCGUACCCAGGGCUAGUCGCGAAUCUCUGG